CAGCAGCCGCGGUAAUACGGAGGGGGCUAGCGUUGUUCGGAAUUACUGGGCGUAAAGCGCACGUAGGCGGCUUUCUAAGUCAGAGGUGAAAGCCCGGGGCUCAACCCCGGAAUUGCCUUUGAGACUGGAUCGCUUGAACUCGGGAGAGGUGAGUGGAAUUCCGAGUGUAGAGGUGAAAUUCGUAGAGAUGUGGAGGGACACCAGUGGCGAAGGCGACUCUCUGGUCUGUAACUGACGCUGAGGAGCGAAAGCGUGGGGAGCGAACAGGAUUAGAUACCCGCGUAGUCCCUGUCUCUUAUAC
rnacentral:rRNA from 1 species